rnacentral:rRNA from 1 species
GGUUACUGCUAUCGGUGUUCGCCUAGCCAUGCGAGUCAUAUGUUCGUAGGAACAUGGCGUACUGCUCAGUAACACGUGGAUAACCUGCCCUUGGGUCCGGCAUAACCCCGGGAAACUGGGGAUAAUUCCGGAUAACGCACAUAUGCUGGAAUGCUUUAUGCGUAAAAUGGAUUCGUCUGCCCAAGGAUGGGUCUGCGGCCUAUCAGGUAGUAGUGGGUGUAAUGUACCUACUAGCCUACGACGGGUACGGGUUGUGAGAGCAAGAGCCCGGAGAUGGAUUCUGAGACAUGAAUCCAGGCCCUACGGGGCGCAGCAGGCGCGAAAACUUUACAAUGCGGGAAACCGUGAUAAGGGGACACCGAGUGCCAGCAUCCUAUGCUGGCUGUCCGGGUGUGUAAAAUACACCUGUUAGCAAGGGCCGGGCAAGACCGGUGCCAGCCGCCGCGGUAACACCGGCGGCCCGAGUGGUGAUCGUGAUUAUUGGGUCUAAAGGGUCCGUAGCCGGUUUGGUCAGUCCUCCGGGAAAUCUGACAGCUUAACUGUUAGGCUUUCGGAGGAUACUGCCAGACUUGGAACCGGGAGAGGUAAGAGGUACUACAGAGGUAGGAGUGAAAUCUUGUAAUCCCUGUGGGACCACCUGUGGCGAAGGCGUCUUACCAGAACGGGUUCGACGGUGAGGGACGAAAGCUGGGGGCACGAACCGGAUUAGAUACCCGGGUAGUCCCAGCCGUAAACGAUGCUCGCUAGGUGUCAGGCAUGGCGCAACCGUGUCUGGUGCCGCAGGGAAGCCGUGAAGCGAGCCACCUGGGAAGUACGGCCGCAAGGCUGAAACUUAA